rnacentral:rRNA from 1 species
UACAGAGGGUGCAAGCGUUGUUCGGAAUUAUUGGGCGUAAAGCGCGUGUAGGCGGCUUUGCAAGUCGGGUGUGAAAGCCCUCAGCUCAACCCAGGAAGUGCACUCGAUACUGCGGAGCUUGAGUCUCGGAGAGGUUGGUGGAAUUCUCGGUGUAGAGGUGAAAUUCGUAGAUAUCGAGAGGAACACCGGUGGCGAAGGCGGCCAACUGGACGAAGACUGACGCUGAGACACGAAAGCGUGGGGAGCAAACAGG